AUGUUGGUGUAUGUCUGGUUUAAUAUUAUUGUUUAGUAAUGUAAGUUUGUGUAGUUUUAGUUAAGCUAAGUCUAUGUGCUGCUUAUAAGAGUUUUUGUGUGUUACAUUGAUAGGAAUAUUGUUGUAAUAUUGUGAGUGUCUCUUGUUAGGGGAAGAUGCCUAGUAAAGGAUGGUCCACCUAUUAAUUUACUCUUUUUAUGUUGGUGUAUCUCUGGUUUACUAUUAUUGUCUAGUAAUGUAAGUUUGUGUAGUUUUAGUUAAGCUAAGUCUAU
rnacentral:rRNA from 1 species